rnacentral:tRNA from 1 species
AGUUAUUUAGCUUAUAUAUUUAAAGCAUUUACUUUGAAAGUAAAAGUAAGAUUAUCAUUUAAUAACUU